ensembl:rRNA 5S_rRNA 5S ribosomal RNA
GCUUACAGCCAUUCCAGCCGAAGAACGCCCGGUCUUGUCUGAUCUCGGAAGCUAAGAAGCCUUGGGCCUGUUUAGUACUUGGAUGGGAGACUGCCUGGGGAAUACAAGGUGCUGUAAGCU